GUUUAUGUGUACAUGUACAUGUGUAUACAUUAUAUUAAUGUGCAUGUACAUACAUUAAUAUAAAUCCAUAUACAUAUACACAUACACACUAA
rnacentral:miRNA from 1 species